UGGGGGUCCUCCACGGGGUCGCGACCUCGAGGUCCUCCAAGAGGUCCUCCAAGGAGUCCUCCAAGGGGUCACGACCCCGGGGUCCUCCGCGGGGUCACGACCUCCACGCGGCGCCACGCCCCCAGCCCCCCUCCGUGGGUUCCCCCGUGGUGCCCCCCACCCCUCCGCCUUCCCCCCCGUGGUGGGGGAUGGGGGGGGGACCNNNNNNNNNNNNNNNNNNNNNNNNNNNNNNNNNNNNNNNNNNNNNNNNNNNNNNNNNNNNNNNNNNNNNNNNNNNNNNGAGGAGGGGCGCAGGACCCCCCCAGACCCCCCAGCCCGCGGACAAAUACCUCAGAGUCGUGCGCUCAACCAAAGAGCCGCCCACCCCGGGGGGCCCCGUCCCGCCGCGCCCCCACCCCACUCUUCUCGGGGACCCCCAUUUCUGGGGGGGCGACCCCAAAUCCCUCCCCUCCCCCCUCCCCGCCCCCCCACCCAGUGACGUUCCCGCUGUGUUCCCCCAUUCCUGGUGCAUCCCCGCUCCCCAGGCUUGGGGGGCUUCUGUGGGGUGGGGGGCUUCGAGUGCUGGGGGCUCCGUGUUCUCGGGGUCUCCGUGUCUUUGGGGUCCCCACGGCCUUGGGGUCUUCGUGUCUUCUUUGGGGUCUCCGUGUUCUUGGGGUCUCCGUGAAUUUUGGGGUCUCCGUGCCCUUGGGGUCUUCGUGUCUUCUUUGGGGUCUCCAUGUCUCUGGGGACUCCAUGUCUUCUUUGGGGUCUCCAUGUUCUUGGGGGUCUUCAUGUCUUUGGGGUCUCCAUGUCUUUGGGGUCCCCAUGACUUUUGGGGACUUCACGUCUUUGGGGUCUCCAUGUUCUCAUUUGGGGUCUCCAUGAGUUUGGGCCUCCAUGUUCUUUGGGGUCUCCACCUUUUUGGGGUCUCCAUGACCUGUGGGUCCUCAUGGAUUCUUGGGGUCUCCAUGACUUUGGGGUCUCCAUGUCCUUGGGGGUCUUCAUGUAUUUUUGGGGUCUCCAGGACUUUGGGGUCUUCAUAGUUCUUGAGGUCUUCAGGUCUUUGGGAUCCCCAUAUUCUUGGGGUCUUCACAUCUUUGGGUUCCUCAUAGAUUUUUGGGGUCCCCCGACGCUCCUGGGGUCUCCGUGCCUUUGGGGUCUCCAUCUUCCAUUCCUCAGAGCACCCCCAGAUCUCAGGGACCCCCCCAGACCCCCCCCGUGUCCCCAAUUCCUGCUGUGUCCCCACAUCCCGGGGCGCCUCAACGCUUCUUGGGGGGGGGGGGUCCCCAUUUCUUCGCUGAUCCUCACUUUUGGGGGGGGUCCCCCACUUCUCGGGGGUGUCCCCCAUUAUGACCCCUCCCCCCCAGUUCUUGGUGCACCUCUAUGAUUCUUAGGGAUCUCCCCAAUUCCUGGGUAGGGACCCAAAUUUUGGGGUUCACCUCAUCUCCUGACACCCCCCCUUUCUUUGGGGUUCUCCCCAGUUCUUGGAGUGGGGGGGGGAAAGGGGGGAUUCCCAUUUUUGGGGUCUCCCCAUUUCCUGGGCUCCCCCUCCCCCUUCCCCACUGCACACACUGGGGAGGGGAAAAUAAUAAUAAAUAGAUCUGAAAAAAAAGGAAAAGGUGGGAA
rnacentral:lncRNA from 1 species